CUACUACUCCCUUCGUUCGAAAAUACUUGUCAUUGAAAUGGAUGUAUCUAGAUGUAUAUUAGUUCUAGACACAUCCAUUUUGAUGACAAGUAAUUCCGGACGGAGGGAGUAUUAU
rnacentral:pre_miRNA from 1 species